rnacentral:lncRNA from 1 species
GUUCUGCACGUCGAUCUCAGGAGAAGCCAGCUCCCAUGUUAAGAAGUUCAAAUACCUAGAGACUGCGAUGGUUUGCAGAGGCUCAAGCUAACCACAUGGAAAGACAUGGAGAGAUAUUCCUUGCCAACCCUCAACUACUCCAACUAUUCUAAGACAUCAAACCUAAAAACAAACCGCAGGUCACCCACCGGUCUGAAGAGGAGGAUGAGAGACAAAGAAAAAAGUUGUCUGGCUGCCUCUGCUGUCUACAGAUUGAAGAAGAUCCAUCCAGCUGAGCCCAGCCUAGACCAGCUGACUUCUCCAAUAAGCCUGUAUGAAAUAAAUGCUUAUUGUUAUGUG